GACGAACGCUGGCGGCGUGCUUAACACAUGCAAGUCGAACGGUAAGGCCCUUCGGGGUACACGAGUGGCGAACGGGUGAGUAACACGCGGGUGAUCUGCCCUGCACUUCGGGAUAAGCCUGGGAAACUGGGUCUAAUACCGGAUAGGACUCCGGACUGCAUGGUCUGGGGUGGAAAGCCUUUGGGGGGUGGGAUGGGCCCGGGGCCUAUCAGCUUGUUGGUGGGGUGAUGGCCUACCAAGGCGACGACGGGUAGCCGGCCUGAGAGGGUGACCGGCCACACUGGGACUGAGAUACGGCCCAGACUCCUACGGGAGGCAGCAGUGGGGAAUAUUGCACAAUGGGCGCAAGCCUGAUGCAGCGACGCCGCGUGAGGGAUGACGGCCUUCGGGUUGUAAACCUCUUUCAGCAUCGACGAAGCGAAAGUGACGGUAGGUGCAGAAGAAGGACCGGCCAACUACGUGCCAGCCGCCGCCGUAA
rnacentral:rRNA from 1 species